rfam:Canis lupus familiaris chromosome X, whole genome shotgun sequence.
CGGGGGAGGCCGGAUCCUGGGCUGUGUCCCCGGCGUCCUGUGCUCCCAGGCCUGGGCUGUUGGAUUCGCGCUCCCGGCCAAGCAGCCCCCU